GUGUUUGUAGCUCAGUUGGAUAGAGCGCUCCCCUCCUAAGGGAGAGGUCGGGGGUUCGAUUCCCUUCAAGCACA
rnacentral:tRNA from 1 species